rnacentral:rRNA from 1 species
CUAACCGUAAACGAUGACAACCAGCGAUUAGCAGGCGUUAAUAUAUGACCCUGCUAGCAGCUUCCGGGAAACCAAAGUUUUUCGUUUCCGGGGGAAGUAUGGUUGCAAAGCUGAAACUUAAAGGAAUUGACGGAAGGGCACCACCAGGAGUGGAGCCUGCGGCUUAAUUUGACUCAACACGGGAAAACUCACCCGGCCCGGACACCGUAAGGAUUGACAGACUGAGAGCUCUUUCUUAAUUCGGUGGGUGGUGGUGCAUGGCCGUUCUUAGUUGGUGGAGCGAUUUGUCUGGUUAAUUCCGAUAACGAACGAGACUCUGGCCUAUUAAAUAGCCGGUAUAUAUUGAAAGUUUGCCGCGCUUCUUAGAGGGACAACCGGCUUCUAGCCGCGUGAAAUAGAGCAAUAACAGGUCUGUGAUGCCCUUAGAUGUCCGGGGCUGCACGCGCGCUACACUGAAAGAAUCAGUAUGCGCUUUUGCCUAGUUCGGAAGAACUGGGUAACCCUAGCAAAUUCUUUCGUGCUUGGGAUAGGGAAUUGCAAUUAUUUCCCUUAAACGAGGAAUUCCCAGUAAAUGCGGGUCAUAAGCUCGCGUUG